CUACGGGCUGCAGCAGUGAGGAAUAUUGCACAAUGGGGGGAACCCUGAUGCAGCAACGCCGCGUGGAGGAUGACGCAUUUCGGUGUGUAAACUCCUUUUAUAUGUCAAGAAAAUGACGGUAGCAUAUGAAUAAGCACGGGCUAACUGCCGUGCCAGCAGCCGCGGUAAUACGGAGGGUGCAAGCGUUACUCGGAAUCACUGGGCGUAAAGGACGCGUAGGCGGGUUGGAAAGUCAGGUGUGAAAUCCUACAGCUUAACUGUAGAACUGCACUUGAAACUUCUAAUCUAGAGUAUGGGAGGGGGAGAUGGAAUUAGUGGUGUAGGGGUAAAAUCCGUAGAUAUCACUAGGAAUACCUAAAGCGAAGGCGAUCUCCUGGAACAUUACUGACGCUAAGGCGUGAAAGCGUGGGGAGCAAACAGGAUUAGAUACCCCGGUAGUC
rnacentral:rRNA from 1 species